UGCAUUUGAGGGUAAUUGGGAAUGUUUAAUCUAUUAACAAACAUUGAUGUUUAUUAAGUCAUGUUUUAAUAAUGCUAACAGCUUAUUUCCAUCAUUGGUAUAUGAAGCAGAGGGAGGUAACUUACAAGAAAUGUGUAGUUUUAUACAACCUUGCUGUGCAGUGAAACCACCCAUACAAAUGUACAGAGCCAUUACCUAUCAUUCGCAGAACAGAGAACAGUUUUUACCCAUUACAACUCAAUUUUCAGCAUCACUUUCUUUAUUUAGAUAUUACAGUGCAAGACCACAGAGGACAUGGAAGAGAUCAAUAGUUCAAUAAUAGCUCAGCAGUGCCACAGACUGAUCACUUCCAUGCCAUACCUCACUGAUGCUGGAGUUUGUGCUGAAGGAGCCCGACCAAGCAUUGAGUGCAGAAAUAAACAAACUUUAUAGAACUGGAACUUUUCUAUUUUGCAAAUACUUUUUUUGAUUUCUUAGGAAAUAUUUUAAUAUACUAUUUUUUUUACUUUCAUGACCUGUAAGCUCUAAUCUUCAAAAUUAAAACAGAAAACUUUUGAAAUGUAUUACUUUACAUGUAAUGAUUCUAGAAUAUAUAAAAUUUUCACUUUUUGAAAAAUUACAGAAAUGAUUAUAACUUUUUUAAAUACAUUUGUUUUGUUUUUUAGGGUGGCCAGCAUGAUACAGCAGUUUGUUACUGGGAUGGAUGCGUGUGGACAGCUGUGGUAAACAGUACAGAGGAACUGUAUUUACUUUAUGCCAAUGUUCACAUACACACAUGAAAAACUCUCCCGAAGUGAUAUUCGGGACAUGUUCAACAUCAGAUGGAGUCCACAAGGCUGCAAUAAUAGAGAGAGGGAGGAGGACACCAUCUUUCUCUGGGAGUGUUGGCUGAUGUCUAUUGAAAAUAAAGACCUAGACAUUACCUUUGAAGAAAUUCUGAUCUUCGCAACGGGAGCUGAUUCUGUACCCCCUCUCGGUUUUCCACGAGAGUGUGAGAUCCAGUUCUAUGAUCAAGAGCCAGGAAGCCAGCAGAUUCCUUACUCCUCAACCUGUGCCCUUGUUCUGUAUUUGCCCAGAGGUAUUACAGAAGAAACUGAUUUUAAAGAGCUCAUGCUGCUGGCCUUAAAAUGCUCAUUUGGUUUUGGGAAGGCUUAAAUGUUGUAUGUGACAUUGCUGAUAUAAAUUUGAAUGUAAUUUUUUAUUUAUUUAUUUAUUUUAUUUUUUUGGUUCAAAUAAGUCUCUUCUGCUUUAUUUGAUUAGAAAAAACAGUAAAACAUUUUGUGUAAUGUUAUUACAAAUUCAACAACUGUUUAUAUGUAAACAUGUCAUUGAUUUCUUUGAUUAAAGCUGAAUUUUCAACAUCAUUACUCCAGUCUUCCGUGUGACAUGAUCUUCAGAAGUCAUUCUAAUACGCUUAUUUGCUGCUGAAGAAACAUUAUAGUACAAGAGUAGUAGUAAGAACUCUAAUUUUCUUCACUAUGUUGCAAAGCAUAGACAUUUUUGUCCCCUCUAUUUCAGGAAAAUAUGUGAAGAUUAGGCUAUGUGAAGAAAUCGAGAACCUUUUAUUUCUCCCGGCCAGUGAUGAUUCUGAAAGAACAUACCUGGAAUCUGUUGCUAUAGUAACGAACGCAAAUUCAUGCUCAUGCAUGAUUUUAUUUCAGUGCAGUUGUUAAGAUUGUGGUUAUUUCAGCAAACAGUUUUACAUAUUUUAACAGUGUUAAGAAACUUUUCUAUAUCAUUCAAUGGUACUAUUUAGAGAUCAAUGAUACGCACACAUUUUAGACACUUAACUUGGAAAACAUCACAUGUUGACUCUAAAACCCGAUGCGAAAAUGUCAGUCAUUGCAGUCAAAUAUUGAGAUGAACUUUAUUAUAAAGUAUCAUCUAUUUAUAUUAAAUUAAUAUGUUAAAUUGGUAUCUUCUCCUAUACCCAUUUUGUGACCAUUUUGUUUUCAAUCAGCUGAAAUGAUUCGGGACAUCCACAUUUAACUUGAAAAACGUAUAACGUGGCUUAAUGCUUUAAAACUGCAUUUUAAAAAGACCAAAACAUUAGGCAUAUUAAUAAAGCAUUCUAUUCACAGACA
ensembl:lncRNA